GACGAACGCUGGCGGCAUGCCUAAUACAUGCAAGUCGAGCGGAGCAAGAGCUUUCCUUCGGGAAAGCCGAUGUUUAGCGGCGGACGGGUGAGUAACACGUAGGCAACCUGCCCCUUAGCCUGGGAUAACUACCGGAAACGGUAGCUAAUACCGGAUAAUUUCUUUGUUCUCCUGAAGAGAGAAUGAAAGACGGAGCAAUCUGUCACUGAGGGAUGGGCCUGCGGCGCAUUAGCUAGUUGGUG
rnacentral:rRNA from 1 species